UGGCAGCAGUGGGGAAUCUUGCGCAAUGAGGGAAACCUUGACGCAGCGACGCCGCGUGGAGGAUGAAGGUCUUCGGAUUGUAAACUCCUGUUAAGUGGGAAGAAAUGGCAAAAUCUAAUAAAUUUUGCAGCUGACGGUACCACUAGAGAAAGCACCGGCUAACCUCGUGCCAGCAGCCGCGGUAAUACGAGGGGUGCAAGCGUUAUUCGGAGUUACUGGGCGUAAAGAGCGCGUAGGCGGCUUGUUAAGUUGGUUGUUAAAGACCCCGGCUCAACCGGGGAAGUGCAGCCGAUACUGGCGAGCUAGAGGACAAGAGAGAGAGGUGGAAUUCUCGGAGUAGCGGUAAAAUGCGUAGAUCUCGAGAGGAACAUCAGUUGCGAAGGCGGCUUCUUGGCUUGUAUCUGACGCUGAGGCGCGAAAGCGUGGGGAGCAAACAGGAUUAGAUACCCCUGUAGUC
rnacentral:rRNA from 1 species